rfam:Coniochaeta ligniaria NRRL 30616 unplaced genomic scaffold CONLIGscaffold_6, whole genome shotgun sequence.
GGGUGGAUGGCCGAGUGGUUUAAGGCGCUCGAUUUAAGUAAAGACAUUAAGUACUCGAGUAUCGUAAGAUGCGUGGGUUCGAAUCCCACUCCACUCA